UACGGAGGGGGCUAGCGUUGUUCGGAAUUACUGGGCGUAAAGCGCACGUAGGCGGCUUUGUAAGUUAGAGGUGAAAGCCCAGGGCUCAACCCUGGAAUUGCCUUUAAGACUGCAUCGCUUGAAUCAUGGAGAGGUGAGUGGAAUUCCGAGUGUAGAGGUGAAAUUCGUAGAUAUUCGGAAGAACACCAGUGGCGAAGGCGACUCACUGGACAUGUAUUGACGCUGAGGUGCGAAAGCGUGGGGAUCAAACAGG
rnacentral:rRNA from 1 species